rnacentral:rRNA from 1 species
GGUUAAGCGACUAAGCGUACACGGUGGAUGCCCUGGCAGUCAGAGGCGAUGAAGGACGUGCUAAUCUGCGAAAAGCGUCGGUAAGGUGAUAUGAACCGUUAUAACCGGCGAUGUCCGAAUGGGGAACCCAGUGUGUUUCGACACACUAUCAUUAACUGAAUCCAUAGGUUAAUGAGGCGAACCGGGGGAACUGAAACAUCUAAGUACCCCGAGGAAAAGAAAUCAACCGAGAUUCCCCCAGUAGCGGCGAGCGAACGGGGAGGAGCCCAGAGCCUGAAUCAGUGUGUGUGUUAGUGGAAGCGUCUGGAAAGGCGCGCGAUACAGGGUGACAGCCCCGUACACAAAAAUGCACAUGCUGUGAGCUCGAUGAGUAGGGCGGGACACGUGGUAUCCUGUCUGAAUAUGGGGGGACCAUCCUCCAAGGCUAAAUACUCCUGACUGACCGAUAGUGAACCAGUACCGUGAGGGAAAGGCGAAAAGAACCCCGGCGAGGGGAGUGAAAAAGAACCUGAAACCGUGUACGUACAAGCAGUGGGAGCCCUGAUUUAUCAGGGUGACUGCGUACCUUUUGUAUAAUGGGUCAGCGACUUAUAUUCUGUAGCAAGGUUAACCGAAUAGGGGAGCCGGAGGGAAACCGAGUCUUAACUGGGCGUUAAGUUGCAGGGUAUAGACCCGAAACCCGGUGAUCUAGCCAUGGGCAGGUUGAAGGUUGGGUAACACUAACUGGAGGACCGAACCGACUAAUGUUGAAAAAUUAGCGGAUGACUUGUGGCUGGGGGUGAAAGGCCAAUCAAACCGGGAGAUAGCUGGUUCUCCCCGAAAGCUAUUUAGGUAGCGCCUCGUGAAUUCAUCUCCGGGGGUAGAGCACUGUUUCGGCAAGGGGGUCAUCCCGACUUACCAACCCGAUGCAAACUGCGAAUACCGGAGAAUGUUAUCACGGGAGACACACGGCGGGUGCUAACGUCCGUCGUGAAGAGGGAAACAACCCAGACCGCCAGCUAAGGUCCCAAAGUCAUGGUUAAGUGGGAAACGAUGUGGGAAGGCCCAGACAGCCAGGAUGUUGGCUUAGAAGCAGCCAUCAUUUAAAGAAAGCGUAAUAGCUCACUGGUCGAGUCGGCCUGCGCGCGGAAGAUGUAACGGGGCUAAACCAUGCACCGAAGCUGCGGCAGCGACACUGUGUGUUGUUGGGUAGGGGAGCGUUCUGUAAGCCUGCGAAGGUGUGCUGUGAGGUAUGCUGGAGGUAUCAGAAGUGCGAAUGCUGACAUAAGUAACGAUAAAGCGGGUGAAAAGCCCGCUCGCCGGAAGACCAAGGGUUCCUGUCCAACGUUAAUCGGGGCAGGGUGAGUCGACCCCUAAGGCGAGGCCGAAAGGCGUAGUCGAUGGGAAACAGGUUAAUAUUCCUGUACUUGGUGUUACUGCGAAGGGGGGACGGAGAAGGCUAUGUUGGCCGGGCGACGGUUGUCCCGGUUUAAGCGUGUAGGCUGGUUUUCCAGGCAAAUCCGGAAAAUCAAGGCUGAGGCGUGAUGACGAGGCACUACGGUGCUGAAGCGACAAAUGCCCUGCUUCCAGGAAAAGCCUCUAAGCAUCAGGUAACAUCAAAUCGUACCCCAAACCGACACAGGUGGUCAGGUAGUAGAGAAUACCAAGGCGCUUGAGAGAACUCGGGUGAAGGAACUAGGCAAAAUGGUGCCGUAACUUCGGGAGAAGGCACGCUGAUAUGUAGGUGAAGCGACUUGCUCGUGGAGCUGAAAUCAGUCGAAGAUACCAGCUGGCUGCAACUGUUUAUUAAAAACACAGCACUGUGCAAACACGAAAGUGGACGUAUACGGUGUGACGCCUGCCCGGUGCCGGAAGGUUAAUUGAUGGGGUCAGCGCAAGCGAAGCUCUUGAUCGAAGCCCCGGUAAACGGCGGCCGUAACUAUAACGGUCCUAAGGUAGCGAAAUUCCUUGUCGGGUAAGUUCCGACCUGCACGAAUGGCGUAAUGAUGGCCAGGCUGUCUCCACCCGAGACUCAGUGAAAUUGAACUCGCUGUGAAGAUGCAGUGUACCCGCGGCAAGACGGAAAGACCCCGUGAACCUUUACUAUAGCUUGACACUGAACACUGGUCCUUGAUGUGUAGGAUAGGUGGGAGGCUUUGAAGUGUGGACGCCAGUCUGCAUGGAGCCGUCCUUGAAAUACCACCCUUUAAUGGCUGGUGUUCUAACGUGGGCCCGUAAUCCGGGUUGCGGACAGUGUCUGGUGGGUAGUUUGACUGGGGCGGUCUCCUCCUAAAGAGUAACGGAGGAGCACGAAGGUUGGCUAAUCCUGGUCGGACAUCAGGAGGUUAGUGCAAUGGCAUAAGCCAGCUUGACUGCGAGCGUGACGGCGCGAGCAGGUGCGAAAGCAGGUCAUAGUGAUCCGGUGGUUCUGAAUGGAAGGGCCAUCGCUCAACGGAUAAAAGGUACUCCGGGGAUAACAGGCUGAUACCGCCCAAGAGUUCAUAUCGACGGCGGUGUUUGGCACCUCGAUGUCGGCUCAUCACAUCCUGGGGCUGAAGUAGGUCCCAAGGGUAUGGCUGUUCGCCAUUUAAAGUGGUACGCGAGCUGGGUUUAGAACGUCGUGAGACAGUUCGGUCCCUAUCUGCCGUGGGCGCUGGAGAACUGAGGGGGGCUGCUCCUAGUACGAGAGGACCGGAGUGGACGCAUCACUGGUGUUCGGGUUGUCAUGCCAAUGGCACUGCCCGGUAGCUAAAUGCGGAAGAGAUAAGUGCUGAAAGCAUCUAAGCACGAAACUUGCCCCGAGAUGAGUUCUCCCUGAGACUUAGAGUCUCCUGAAGGAACGUUGAAGACGACGACGUUGAUAGGCCGGGUGUGUAAGCGCAGCGAUGCGUUGAGCUAACCGGUACUAAUGAACCGUGAGGCUUAACCUU